UUUUGGGGGGGGGCAGCUACACAUGCAAGUCGAGCGGAACGAGUUAUCUGAACCUUCGGGGGACGAUAACGGCGUCGAGCGGCGGACGGGUGAGUAAUGCCUAGGAAAUUGCCCUGAUGUGGGGGAUAACCAUUGGAAACGAUGGCUAAUACCGCAUGAUGCCUACGGGCCAAAGAGGGGGACCUUCGGGCCUCUCGCGUCAGGAUAUGCCUAGGUGGGAUUAGCUAGUUGGUGAGGUAAGGGCUCACCAAGGCGACGAUCCCUAGCUGGUCUGAGAGGAUGAUCAGCCACACUGGAACUGAGACACGGUCCAGACUCCUACGGGAGGCAGCAGUGGGGAAUAUUGCACAAUGGGCGCAAGCCUGAUGCAGCCAUGCCGCGUGUGUGAAGAAGGCCUUCGGGUUGUAAAGCACUUUCAGUCGUGAGGAAGGUAGUGUAGUUAAUAGCUGCAUUAUUUGACGUUAGCGACAGAAGAAGCACCGGCUAACUCCGUGCCAGCAGCCGCGGUAAUACGGAGGGUGCGAGCGUUAAUCGGAAUUACUGGGCGUAAAGCGCAUGCAGGUGGUUUGUUAAGUCAGAUGUGAAAGCCCGGGGCUCAACCUCGGAAUAGCAUUUGAAACUGGCAGACUAGAGUACUGUAGAGGGGGGUAGAAUUUCAGGUGUAGCGGUGAAAUGCGUAGAGAUCUGAAGGAAUACCGGUGGCGAAGGCGGCCCCCUGGACAGAUACUGACACUCAGAUGCGAAAGCGUGGGGAGCAAACAGGAUUAGAUACCCUGGUAGUCCACGCCGUAAACGAUGUCUACUUGGAGGUUGUGGCCUUGAGCCGUGGCUUUCGGAGCUAACGCGUUAAGUAGACCGCCUGGGGAGUACGGUCGCAAGAUUAAAACUCAAAUGAAUUGACAGGGGCCCGCACAAGCGGUGGAGCAUGUGGUUUAAUUCGAUGCAACGCGAAGAACCUUACCUACUCUUGACAUCCAGAGAACUUUCCAGAGAUGGAUUGGUGCCUUCGGGAACUCUGAGACAGGUGCUGCAUGGCUGUCGUCAGCCUCGG
rnacentral:rRNA from 1 species